GUCGUCAAAGUUCUUGUGACUGUCUAUGGACCAUUGCAGAGGGAGUCCAAAACAGCACUAAUCAUCUCAGUAGUUGCUUUUGUUCUGCAAAUCCUAUCCCAAUUGAUACCUCUAGUUACCGUGUGCCCGCUGCUCCUGUCAAUGGUAUAUCCUCCUCUGAUUGACCAAAGGCCUGAGCACAUCAACUCAAGGAAGCUGACUGUGUUCUCAAGGGUUGGUAGCUUUGGGCUUUCACUAUUUUGGGUCUCAUAUUGCAGUAUGACAUAUGAGCAUGACUAUUUUCAGCUUGCAAACGAUGUUGGAGCCGCCUUGUCAUUUCUGAGCAUGAUACUCCACCUGGUAUACACGCUACGUCCACAUAAUCUCGACUAUCCUCCAGCUCCAUAAGCACACACAAAGACUUGGAGAGCAGACUAGGCAAUAGUUUGGGGAAGGGGAAGUAGAUGCCGAGAAGGAAUACGAGGUAUUCAGUCGUCAGGGGCUAGCUACCAAUGACUUGCUGUUUGUCUCCAGAACCAUCAAUCGGCCAUCUAAGGGCCAUCGACAAAUGUCAUCACAUUAUUAGCACCUAAGAACGCUUACCUUGUAAUUGCAUUAGUACUAAACUUAUUUUGGCCUGUAACUUAUUCCCCACCCAGCCGUGUACUUAGGCAGGGGAAAACUGCUAUCUGAGACAUCACGAAUAUGACUGAACCCUUUCCUUAGCAGUAGUUGUAGAGGCCGCCGUCGCCAUGGCGAGCUAGGGAUCUAUGUACUGCUGUUUCCAAUACAAUUUCAGCUGCUGCUGUGAGAUUCUGGGUUCUGAAUUCAUGUGAUCGUGC